UAUCUGUCAAUCAAGACAGAGUCUUAGCAAUGCUAACCAUGGAACCGUGAACAUUAAAAUAGACCUUGAAUUGUUUUUUGCUGUUGUCCGUGUUUUAAACUUAAAACUAUGACCCUCUCACUGUGUAUUUCCACUUCAUCAAAAUCAGUUGGAACAUUUUGGUCGCUCUAAAAAUGACUUAAAUUGUCGUACAUCUCUGC